rnacentral:rRNA from 1 species
GGGGGCCCGCACAAGCGGAGGAGCAUGUGGUUUAAUUCGAUGAUACGCGAGGAACCUUACCUGGGCUUAAAUGCUUAAUGACGUACUGGGAAACUGGUAUUUCUUCGGACAUUUUGCAAGGUGCUGCAUGGUUGUCGUCAGCUCGUGCCGUGAGGUGUCGGGUUAAGUCCCGUAACGAGCGCAACCCCUAUUGUUAGUUGCCAUCAGGUCAUGCUGGGGACUCUAACAAAACUGCCCGCGUAAGCGUGGAGGAAGGUGGGGAUGACGUCAAAUCAGCACGGCCCUUACGUCCAGGGCUACACACGUGCUACAAUGGCCGGUACAGAGGGCAGCCACUUGGUGACAAGGAGCAAAUCUCAAAAGCCGGUCUCAGUUCGGAUCGGAGUCUGCAACUCGACUCCGUGAAGUUGGAUUCGCUAGUAAUCGUAGAUCAGCAAUGCUACGGUGAAUACGUUCCCGGGCCUU